UUCAACAUUUAUAAUCAAUAUUUUAUUGUUUUUACAAUAAACUAUAGUCGUUCGAUUGUUAAGAUGUUGUAAGCACAAAGGGAAAUAAUUGUUCAAAUUCAGUUUCACAAUGCUAUGCGUGCAUUUCGUAAUUUGUUUAUUUCUAUUCAAUUGCGUGAAUCAGAUUGCACCAAUGAGGCACGAAAUACCUCCAGAGUUCAGAUUCAUCCACUAUCCGUCUAUCCCCUACGUACCGUAUAGAAGAGCAGCCGUGCGUGGACCCGUACGAACUACGCGAGUACCCCAGACUAUUAGAAAACUAUAACCGUUAUGGAAACAACUACUUUAUUUCUUUCGCAAUAAGAUUGGUUUUGAAUUGAUAGGUACCGGUAAACUAUGGCAACUUUACCGGACCCUUGGCAACUUUACCAUACUAUAGGUAUUCAGUAUAAACUCAUUUAUCUAAAAAUCUACCCACUAGAAUUCUGUUUUGUAAUAGUAGUAUUUUUUAGACAUUAAAAGGAAAUAUUUACUAUAUUUUGCGUAGACGUAAGACUGCUAUUAUGCCAGUAAUGGCCGUCACAAUGUAUGCGUGAAAAUGUGCUAAAAGUUAGCAGUUCCUAAAUUGUGCUCACAGAGCCUUAAUUAUAUGUCACAGGUGAGUGAAAUUUUGAUCUUGAAUGUAUAAUAUAGUUGGGAUUACUGUUGUAAUGUCAGCAAUUGCUUUUUCUUUAAUUUAUUGAUAAAUAAUCGCUUCGGUAAUGUUGACACAGGUUAGGUAAAGUUGCCACGGCCUGCUUUGUGGCAACUUUACCGACAGCUAGGGUUGGCAAUAAAUGUUUUUUUCUUG